AGUCGGCGGCCGGACUGGGAAGAUGGACGCAGCUACUCUGACCUACGACACUCUCCGGUUUGCCGAGUUUGAAGAUUUUCCUGAGACCUCAGAGCCCGUUUGGAUACUGGGUAGAAAAUACAGCAUUUUCACAGAAAAGGACGAGAUCUUGUCUGAUGUGGCAUCUAGACUUUGGUUUACAUACAGGAAAAACUUUCCAGCCAUUGCCAUUCAUCGUUGUAUACCCUGGAGCUGGAAGGAGAUGGGGACUGGUUCUCAGCCUUGCUUCUCACCGGCGGAGAACUGAGGCCGGAGGGGGGACAGGCCCCACCUCGGACACAGGCUGGGGCUGCAUGCUGCGGUGUGGACAGAUGAUCUUUGCCCAAGCCCUGGUGUGCCGGCACCUAGGCCGAGAUUGGAGGUGGACACAAAGGAAGAGGCAGCCAGACAGCUACUUCAGCGUCCUCAACGCAUUCAUCGACAGGAAGGACAGUUACUACUCCAUUCACCAGAUAGGUGGGAGGCUGCAGAUUGUGCCAGGCCCCACCCGGGCUGUUUGGAGAGGGUGGAGUGG
rnacentral:sRNA from 1 species